GAGGUGAGCAUAUAUUGUCCCAACUGCACUAGAAAUGCGUCAAGACGCUCAGACGUACUUUCAAAGAACUGAUACGUUGGCGCAUUUCUGGUGCCUUGGCGCAUUUGCCGUAAUUGGACGC
rnacentral:precursor_RNA from 14 species